GAUGAACGCUGGCGGCGUGCCUAAUACAUGCAAGUCGAGCGAACAGACGAGGAGCUUGCUCCUCUGACGUUAGCGGCGGACGGGUGAGUAACACGUGGAUAACCUACCUAUAAGACUGGGAUAACUUCGGGAAACCGGAGCUAAUACCGGAUAAUAUAUUGAACCGCAUGGUUCAAUAGUGAAAGACGGUUUUGCUGGCACUUAUAGAUGGAUCCGCGCCGCAUUAGCUAGUUGGUAAGGUAACGGCUUACCAAGGCAACGAUGCGUAGCCGACCUGAGAGGGUGAUCGGCCACACUGGAACUGAGCCACGGUCCAGACUCCUACGGGAGGCAGCAGUAGGGAAUCUUCCGCAAUGGGCGAAAGCCUGACGGAGCAACGCCGCGUGAGUGAUGAAGGUCUUCGGAUCGUAAAACUCUGUUAUUAGGGAAGAACAAAUGUGUAAGUAACUAUGCACGUCUUGACGGUACCUAAUCAGAAAGCCACGGCUAACUACGUG
rnacentral:rRNA from 1 species